GACGAACGCUGGCGGCGUGCUUAACACAUGCAAGUCGAACGGAAAGGCCCCUUUGGGGGUACUCGAGUGGCGAACGGGGGAGGAACACGUGAGUAACCUGCCCUUGACUUCGGGAUAACUUCAGGAAACUGGGGCUAAUACCGGAAAGGAAUCCUUGCUGCAUGGUGGGGGUUGGAAAGCUUCGGCGGGUUUGGAUGGACUCGCGGCUUAUCAGCUUGUUGGUGGGGUAGUGGCUUACCAAGGCUUUGACGGGUAGCCGGCCUGAGAGGGCGACCGGCCACCUUGGGACUGAGAUACGGCCCCGACUCCUACGGGAGGCAGCAGUGGGGAAUAUUGCACAAUGGGCGGCAGCCUGAUGCAGCAACGCCGCGUGCGGGAUGACGGCCUUCGGGUUGUAAACCGCUUUCAGCAGGGGCGAAGCUUGUGGUGACGGUACCUGCAGAAGAAGCACCGGCUAACUACGUG
rnacentral:rRNA from 1 species